rnacentral:tmRNA from 1 species
GGGGAUGAUUGACUCGACGAGAGCGCGUACAUUAAAAACAGCAAGCCGGCGAUGACAAAAGAGCCGUAAAAAUUAUUGUUAAAAUCUAGUUGCUGAUGAAUCAACAACUUCCCUUCAGGACCGCGCUAUAGCUCUUCUUGAGCGAAAGUUAGCAGCCCUCGAAGGUGCUUUCACACGACCAAACUUCGCGUUUGCAACUGUGUAAAGCAAUCUCUCUUUGGACUUUUCCGGUGGUCCGGGGGAGGUUAAAACCUUAGCCGGAGCGUCAGGUAUCGGAUGACUGGCCGGCAUCGGAGUACACUUUCAGUCACAACUCUGUAUAUGUAUUUGUCCGUUCUAUCAUAUACAGAGAAUCAAACGGACUACGCUUGUAGAAGUUUUUGAUGUAAGUUUUCGGACCCGGGCUCGUUACCCGGCAUCUCCACAC